rnacentral:rRNA from 1 species
AUGAGUUGCCUAAAAGAUGUUCCGACACUCAGAGGUGACAAUCACACUGAGUGGAGGAAGAAAGUUGAAUUGGCAUCUGUCUGUGCUGAUCUGGACUGGGUUCUGGAUGAACCACAGCCGGUCAGACCUACAGAGCCAGUAAGAGAGGCCACUGAUGAUGAUGCUGCGUGGGCUAAAAAGAAGGGGGAUUAUGCUCCUUUGGAGAUGUCAUACAUCAUAGAAAACCAAAAGUGGGUCGAUGCAAACAAAAAGUGCAUGGCAUUUAUAAAGAAUACAAUUGAGAGCAUCAUUGUGGGCUCCAUUGCCGAGUGCACUUCCGCAGGGGAGUUGCUUACAAAGAUAAAGAGCCAGUUCACUGGCUCUUCAAAGAUAUAUGCCACCCAGGUGUUAGAGCAACUGGUGACAGAACGCUACACAGGUGGUAGUCAUGGAAUUAGAGAGGACAUCCUCAGGAUGAGCAAUAUGGUAGCAAAGCUAAAGCCCAUGGAUGAGGAUUUGGAGAUCAAACCAAAGCUCCUGGUCCAUCUGGUCAUGGCCUCACUGCCAAAGGAGUUUGAAACUUUUGUUGUAAACUACAAUAUGUCACCUGGAACCUGGGACAUUGAAAAGACAAUAGCAAUGUGUGUCCAAGAAAAGGACAGACUCAAAGUCUCACAUGGUGGUUCACUCAACUGUGUGAAGGAUCACAAGAAAAAGAAUUACAAUCAAAAUAACAAAAGUUCUCCUUCAAAGCCACAAGGAAAAGCUCCCUAUCAGCGUCAGCAACAGCCUUUCCCAGUGGACAAAGACACUUGUCUCCACUGUAAGAAGACCGGACAUUACAAGAAAGACUGCCCUGUCUGGCUAAAGUCCUUAAUGGCAAAGCAAGGAGCAACUGUUCGGGGAUUCCAUUCGACCCAGACUACGCUAAGAAGAGAAAGAGGCAUUGAAGUAGCUAAUGGAAUUCAAGCGGAAGUUGAAGCUGUCGGCGCCAUCUUCUUGGAGUUAGCUGAUGGAUUCAAGCUUCUACUUAGAGAUGUUCUUUAUGUUCCUUCAUGUAAUAGAAACUUAAUUAGUGUUUCAUGUUUGGACAAAGAUAAUUAUGAGUGUUAUUUUGGACAUGGCAAGUGUGCCAUAUGGUAUAAUAAUGCUUAUGUGGGUGAUGCUUUACUACACGAU